rnacentral:rRNA from 1 species
CCUACGGGAGGCAGCAGUGGGGAAUAUUGGUCAAUGGCCGAGAGGCUGAACCAGCCACGUCGCGUGGGGGAAGAAUGUCCUAUGGAUUGUAAACCUCUUUUGUCAGGGAGCAAAGUCCCCCACGUGUGGGUGUUGGCCAGUACCUGAACAAACAGCAUCGGCUAACUCCGUGCCAGCAGCCGCGGUAAUACGGAUGAUUCAAGCGUUAUCCGGAUUUAUUGGGUUUAAAGGGUGCGUAGGCGGUAGGACAAGUUAGACGUGAAAUCCCGAGGCUCAACUUCGGUAGUGCUUUUGAAACUGUUAGGCUAGAGAGUAGGAGCGGUAGGCGGAAUGCAUGGUGUAGCGGUGAAAUGCAUAGAGAUCAGACAGAACACCGAUUGCGAAGGCAGCUUACCGAGCUACGACUGACGUUGAGGCACGAAAGCGUGGGGAGCAAACAGGAUUAGAUACCCCUGUAGUC